CAGGAUUAGAUACCCUGGUAGUCCACGCCGUAAACGAUGUCUACUUGGAGGUUGUGGCCUUGAGCCGUGGCUUUCGGAGCUAACGCGUUAAGUAGACCGCCUGGGGAGUACGGUCGCAAGAUUAAAACUCAAAUGAAUUGACGGGGGCCCGCACAAGCGGUGGAGCAUGUGGUUUAAUUCGAUGCAACGCGAAGAACCUUACCUACUCUUGACAUCCAGAGAAGCCAGCAGAGAUGCAGGUGUGCCUUCGGGAACUCUGAGACAGGUGCUGCAUGGCUGUCGUCAGCUCGUGUUGUGAAAUGUUGGGUUAAGUCCCGCAACGAGCGCAACCCUUAUCCUUGUUUGCCAGCGAGUAAUGUCGGGAACUCCAGGGAGACUGCCGGUGAUAAACCGGAGGAAGGUGGGGACGACGUCAAGUCAUCAUGGCCCUUACGAGUAGGGCUACACACGUGCUACAAUGGCGCAUACAGAGGGCUGCCAACCAGCGAUGGUGAGCGAAUCCCAAAAAGUGCGUCGUAGUCCGGAUUGGAGUCUGCAACUCGACUCCAUGAAGUCGGAAUCGCUAGUAAUCGUGGAUCAGAAUGCCACGGUGAAUACGUUCCCGGGCCUUGUACACACCG
rnacentral:rRNA from 1 species